UACGUAGGGUGCAAGCGUUAUCCGGAAUUAUUGGGCGUAAAGAGCCUCGUGAGCGGUUUGUCGCGUCUGCUGUGAAAACUGGAGGCUCAACCUCCAGCCUGCAGUGGGUACGGGCAGACUAGAGUGCGGUAGGGGAGAUUGGAAUUCCUGGUGUAGCGGUGGAAUGCGCAGAUAUCAGGAGGAACACCAACGGCGAAGGCAGCUCGCUGGGACGGUACUGACGCUGAGGCGCGAAAGCGUGGGGAGCGAACAGG
rnacentral:rRNA from 1 species